UGGGGAAUUUUGGACAAUGGGCGAAAGCCUGAUCCAGCCAUGCCGCGUGCAGGAUGAAGGCCUUCGGGUUGUAAACUGCUUUUGUACGGAACGAAAAGACUCUGGUUAAUACCUGGGGUCCAUGACGGUACCGUAAGAAUAAGCACCGGCUAACUACGUGCCAGCAGCCGCGGUAAUACGUAGGGUGCAAGCGUUAAUCGGAAUUACUGGGCGUAAAGCGUGCGCAGGCGGUUAUAUAAGACAGAUGUGAAAUCCCCGGGCUCAACCUGGGAACUGCAUUUGUGACUGUAUAGCUAGAGUACGGCAGAGGGGGAUGGAAUUCCGCGUGUAGCAGUGAAAUGCGUAGAUAUGCGGAGGAACACCGAUGGCGAAGGCAAUCCCCUGGGCCUGUACUGACGCUCAUGCACGAAAGCGUGGGGAGCAAACAGGAUUAGAUACCCUGGUAGUCCACGCCCUAAACGAUGUCAACUGGUUGUUGGGUCUUCACUGACUCAGUAACGAAGCUAACGCGUGAAGUUGACCGCCUGGGGAGUACGGCCGCAAGGUUGAAACUCAAAUGAAUUGACGGGGUCAUAGCUGUUUCCU
rnacentral:rRNA from 1 species